rnacentral:rRNA from 1 species
GACGAACGCUGGCGGCGGGCUUAACACAUGCAAGUCGAACGGAAAGGCCCUGCUAUUGUGGGGUUCCCGAUUGGCGAACGGGUGAGUAACACGUGAGUAACCUGCCCUUGACUUUGGUAUAACUUCAGGAAACGGGGGCUAAUAUCGUAUCGCAUCCGCUGCUCCAUUGUGGGGGGUGGAAAUUUUCGGCUGUUGGGGAUGGACUCGCGGCUGACCAGCUUGCUGGUGGGGUAGUGGCUUACCAAGGGUGUGACGGGUAGGCGGCAUGUGAGCGUGACCGGCCACUUUGGGACUGCGAGACGGAGCAGACUGCUACGGGGGGCAGUGGUGGGGAAUAUUGCACAGUGGGAGGAAGUCUGAUGCAGAAACGCCGGGUGCGGGAUGACGGCCUUUGGGUUGUAAACAGCUUUAGCCUGUGACGAAGCGUGAGUGACGGUAAUGAGUAAAGAAGCACCGGCUAACUACGUG